GCCAGGCGUGGCGGCGGGCGCCUGUAAUCCCAGCUACUCGGGAGGCUGAGGCAGGAGAAUUGCUUGAGCCCAGGAGGUGGAGGUUGCAGUGAGCCUAGAUCGCACUACUGCACUCCAGCCUGGGCAACAGAGCAAGAUUCCGUCUCAA
ensembl:misc_RNA Metazoa_SRP Metazoan signal recognition particle RNA